rnacentral:rRNA from 1 species
UGACAGGUGGUGCAUGGUUGUCGUCAGCUCGUGUCGUGAGAUGUUGGGUUAAGUCCCGCAACGAGCGCAACCCCUAUUGUUAGUUGCCAUCAUUCAGUUGGGCACUCUAGCGAGACUGCCGGUAAUAAACCGGAGGAAGGUGGGGAUGACGUCAAAUCAUCAUGCCCCUUAUGACCUGGGCUACACACGUGCUACAAUGGUUGGUACAACGAGUUGCGAGUCGGUGACGGCGAGCUAAUCUCUUAAAGCCAAUCUCAGUUCGGAUUGUAGGCUGCAACUCGCCUACAUGAAGUCGGAAUCGCUAGUAAUCGCGGAUCAGCACGCCCGCGGUCGAAUACGUUCCGGCCUU